rnacentral:rRNA from 1 species
CCUACGGGUGGCAGCAGUGGGGAAUAUUGCACAAUGGGGGAAACCCUGAUGCAGCGACGCCGCGUGAGUGAAGAAGUAUUUCGGUACGUAAAGCUCUAUCAGCAGGGAAGAAAAUGACGGUAUCUGACUCAGAUGCCCCAGCUAACUACGUGCCCGCACCCGCGGUAAUACGUAGGGGUCAAGCGUUAUCCGGAUUUACUGGGGGUAAAGGGAGCGUAGACGGGAGCACAAGUCUGAGGUGAAAUCUCGGGGCUUAACCCCGGAACUGCUUUGGAAACUGUGCGGCUGGAGUACAGGAGGGGUAGGCGGAAUUCCUAGGGUAGCGGUGAAAUGCGUAGAUAGUAGGAGGAACACCGGUGGCGAAGGCGGCUUACUGGACGGUAACUGACGUGGAGGCGCGAAAGCGUGGGGAGCAAACAGGAUUAGAUACCCGUGUAGUC